UCCUGGUUAGCUCAGUUGGUGGAGCACUCCACUGGCAUUGGAGAGGUCCCUGGUUCAAUACAAGGACCAGGAG